GUAGGUGGCAAGCGUUGUCCGGAAUUAUUGGGCGUAAAGCGCGCGCAGGCGGUUCUUUAAGUCUGAUGUGAAAGCCCACGGCUCAACCGUGGAGGGUCGUUGGAAACUGGAGAACUUGAGUACAGAAGAGGAAAGCGGAAUUCCACGUGUAGCGGUGAAAUGCGUAGAGAUGUGGAGGAACACCAGUGGCGAAGGCGGCUUUCUGGUCUGUAACUGACGCUGAGGCGCGAAAGCGUGGGGAGCAAACAGGGAUUAGAUACCCUGGUAGUCCACGCCGUAAACGAUGAGUGCUAAGUGUUAGGGGGUUUCCGCCCCCCUUAGUGCUGCAGCUAACGCAUUAAGCACUCCGCCUGGGAGUACGGCCGCAAGGCUG
rnacentral:rRNA from 1 species